GCUUGUAGCUCAUUUGGUUAGAGCGUGGUGCUGAUAACGCCAAGGUUGCAGGUUCGAUCCCCGUAAGGGAUA